AUUGAACGCUGGCGGCAGGCCUAACACAUGCAAGUCGAGCGAGCGGCGGACGGGUGAGUAAUGCCUGGGAAUUGCCCAGUCGAGGGGGAUAACAGUUGGAAACGACUGCUAAUACCCUAUACGAUUGGAUCUCCCAGGUGGGUGUAGCUAGUUGGGGAGUUAAUGGCGCACAAAGGCGACGAUCCAUAUCUGGUCUGAGAGGAUGGUCAGCCACACUGGAACGGAGACACGGUCCAGACGCCUACGGGAGGCAGCAGUGGGGAAGAUUGCACAAUGGGGGAAACCCUGAUGCAGCCAUGCCGCGUGUGUGAAGAAGGCCUUCGGGUUGUAAAGCACUUGCAGCGAGGAGGCGUUACUCGCAGAAGAAGCACCGGCUAACUCCGUGCCAGCCGCCGCGGUAAUAC
rnacentral:rRNA from 1 species